AGCAGCCGCGGUAAUUCCAGCUCCAAUAGCGUAUAUUAAAGUUGUUGCAGUUAAAAAGCUCGUAGUUGAAUUUCGGGGUCAGUAGGUUGGUCGUGCCACGGGUAUGUACUGGUCUCACUGAUUCCUCCUUCCUGAUGAACCGUAAUGCCAUUAAUUUGGUGUUGCGGGGAAACUGGACUGUUACUUUGAAAAAAUUAGAGUGUUUAAAGCAGGCUAACGCUUGAAUACAUUAGCAUGGAAUAAUGAAAUAGGACGUUGAUCUUAUUUUGUUGGUUUCUAGGAUUGACGUAAUGAUUAAUAGGGAUAGUUGGGGGCAUUAGUAUUCAAUUGUCAGAGGUGAAAUUCUUGGAUUUAUUGAAGACUAACUACUGCGAAAGCGUUUGCCAAGGAUGUUUUCAUUAAUCAGGACGAAAGUUAGGGGAUCGAAGACGAUCAGAUACCAUCGUAGUCUUAACCAUAAACUAUGCCGACUAGGGAUCGGAUGAUGUUAAUUUUUAAUGUACUCAUUCGGCGCCUUACG
rnacentral:rRNA from 1 species